rnacentral:rRNA from 1 species
UACGAGUGCCCCGAGCGUUAUCCGGAAUUAUUGGGCGUAAAGCGCGCGCAGGUGGUUUCUUAAGUCUGAUGUGAAAGCCCACGGCUCAACCGUGGAGGGUCAUUGGAAACUGGGAGACUUGAGUGCAGAAGAGGAAAGUGGAAUUCCAUGUGUAGCGGUGAAAUGCGUAGAGAUAUGGAGGAACACCAGUGGCGAAGGCGGCUCUCUGGAACGCAACUGACGCUGAGACGCGAAAGCGUGGGGAGCAAACCGG